AAGACAGAAACUAAUACAGGUUUGAAACAACCUGAUGAUGAGUAAAUGACAGCAUCUUUAUUCUGAGUGAACUCUUUAAGUGCGGUUCAUGUUGACUUGAACUAAACUAACCUCACUCAAUCAGGUCUAAAAGGGUCAUAUGGGCUGACUAAACCAUGCAUCACUGGUCUGAUCUUUUUAAACACAGAAAAGUCUUCAUGUCCUCGCAGUCAAGUACACAUGGUUCAGUGUGUAAAUGUGCUAUCCUUUUUAUUCAGGCUCCUCUAAAGUUCAACUACCACGUCCAGAGCGCCCUGCUCCCAUCAACUGGUCCUAAUGAGCCUGAAACAAACCUGAUGAACCGACUGAGACGCAGUGUGGAGACUGACCAAGCACAAAAAAUCCAUGACACACAGCUUUCAUUCCUGCUACAUCCAUAUCUGAGUCUGCACCAAUUUGAUGAUUCACGGAUGUUCAUGGCCUGUUUUGCAAAUCUUCACACUUAAAAACUCUCUACAACUUCAGAUUACAUUCCACUCCUGGCUCUACCAGUACCAAAUUUGGUCAAUUGAAUAAAUCCGGCAUGUUCUUGGUCUGUGGACUUCUCCUGUUUCUCAGUGGGUGUAUUUAGAAGAAUGUUUAAAUGUUUUAAUGACCAGUAAUUUCAUUAUUUCCUUGGGCAUAUUAAUAAACAUUGUGCAUAAUAAUA